rnacentral:rRNA from 3 species
GGGACGAGCCCAGCACCGAAUCCCCCGGCAUGCAGCCGGCGGGAAAUGUGGUGUGUGGGACGCCAACUGUCGUCCGCGCUGGAGACCGAAGUCCUCCUGAUCGGGGCCUCUCCCACAGCGGGUGUCAGGCCUUUACUGGUCUCCGGCCGGGCGGCUGCGAGCGUCUCAGGAGUCGGGUUGUUUGGGAAUGCAGCCCAAAGCGGGUGGUAAACUCCAUCUAAG